rnacentral:misc_RNA from 1 species
UCUCCGUUGGUGAACCAGCGGAGGGAUCAUUACAGGACUCGCAAGACUCCUUCACCCUGUGAACCUCACUACAAGCACGUUGCUUCGGCGGGUGUCCCGGCGGGGGUUUUCCCUCGCCGGGGCGCACAGCCCGCCGGCAGCCUACUAUACUCUGUCUCUUUGCGUUGGCAUCUCGAGAAAAAACAAACAAGAUAAAACUUUCAACAACGGAUCUCUUGGUUCUG